ACCUGAUGCAGCCAUGCCGCGUGUGUGAAGAAGGCCUUCGGGUUGUAAAGCACUUUCAGUUGUGAGGAAAAGUUAGUAGUUAAUACCUGCUAGCCGUGACGUUAACAACAGAAGAAGCACCGGCUAACUCCGUGCCAGCAGCCGCGGUAAUACGGAGGGUGCGAGCGUUAAUCGGAAUUACUGGGCGUAAAGCGCACGCAGGCGGUUUGUUAAGCUAGAUGUGAAAGCCCCGGGCUCAACCUGGGAUGGUCAUUUAGAACUGGCAGACUAGAGUCUUGGAGAGGGGAGUGGAAUUCCAGGUGUAGCGGUGAAAUGCGUAGAUAUCUGGAGGAACAUCAGUGGCGAAGGCGACUCCCUGGCCAAAGACUGACGCUCAUGUGCGAAAGUGUGGGUAGCGAACAGGAUUAGAUACCCUGGUAGUCCACACCGUAAACGCUGUCUACUAGCUGUUUGUGACUUUAAGUCGUGAGUAGCGAAGCUAACGCGCUAAGUAGACCGCCUGGGGAGUACGGCCGCAAGGUUAAAACUCA
rnacentral:rRNA from 1 species